GGUCGUCCGGUCCGUGCGGUAACCGGCUCCGCGCGUCCGGCCGCGACUGCAGGGGAAAGAGCGCCGAGCGAAGCAGCCGGGCCGCCUGCCGCCUGCAGAGUGAGCGGCUCCCAUGCCUGGCGGUUACGGAGUGAUGGGUGACGAGGGCUCCAUCGAUGACAGCGUUCACGAGGCCUGGAAUGAAGCCACCAACGUGUACCUGGUAGUGAUCCUUGUCAGCUUUGGGCUCUUCAUGUAUGCCAAGAGAAAUAAAAGGAAAAUUAUGAGGAUAUUCAGUGUGCCACCUCCAACAGACACUCUGUCAGAGCCCAACUUUUAUGACACAAUAAGCAAAAUUCGUUUAAGACAGCAACUGGAAAUGUACUCCAUUUGACUCUUCCACACGUGAGAAAAUGAGAGUUGUCUAUAUGUUAAAUCUGUAUAGACUUCGCAAGUGACCUUUUGUCUUUCAUCGAAAGCACUUGACCUGCGGCAGUGUGGCCUCACCAGUGAAGGAGCAAAGGCUUUACUAAAGGCCCUUGAAAGCAACAGAACUCUGGUCGUUUUGGAUAUAAGAAAAAAAUCCACUUGUUGAUCAUUCUGUGAUGAAAGCAGUUAUCAAAAAAGUUCUCCAGAUGGAAGGAGUGCCAAGUCAGAGG